AAAUGACUGUUGGUAAAUACAGAAGAUGAAGAUGGUACACACAAGUACGCGCCAGUCGCUAGCAGUGACGGAUGAGGUGUGUAGUGUGUGUGUGUAUGCGGUGUCUUCCAAACAAUCUCGAGAACUUAAGAUCGACUUACUAAACUACGUCUCGACUUAUUUCCCGCCGCAAAGACAUUUCUCGAACCGGAUGUUCGACCCACACACACCGGAAGUCAUCAACUAUCGGUUCUGACACGGCACACACAACUGGUCGGGUGGCGGCUAAUCCCGAGUGCGUUUGGCCAGAAAAAAAGCAGUUG
rnacentral:lncRNA from 1 species